GCUGACUCAGACCUUCAAAGCCAACCCAGGGCUUUUUCUAUCAGUAGGCUGCUGAGAGCUGACAGCCUGAAAACUCGAGGAAGCUGUUUGCUUCAUUUCAGCAGUUUUGAAGUCUUGUUUCAGUCCAGUGGGUUGACAGAGAUGCUCGGGUAUUGCUUUCUUGGGAUCCAUUUAUCUAAAGAAGCAAUCAAGCUAUUCCCACUGGCUGCUGCGUGAAGGCCAAGGAGACUGGAGAUACAUACACGGGACCUGCUCUUUGAUUAGUCUGGUUUGUACAUCAAGACUUUAUUAGCUUUUACUGCCCUACUGACUGCCGCUUGCAAUUGCUUCAUGCUAGCCCCAUUGCUAAUAGUUCCUCUGCUCUCUCUGCUUUCUUUCCCGCUGAGUUUGUGUGAACCUCUUUAUUGUCAGCUCUGGCGAGAUGAUCAAAUUUGGCAUCUGUUGCUGGGCAUUUCAGGUUUAUUAAAUGUGUUAAAAAAAUCUUUAACUCCCAGAAAUGUGCACGGGACUGGGUAAUCGCAGCUCCCUGCGCACACAGCUUGCACUGUGGUCAGCGCAGUCAGCAGUCUGCACCUGCUCAGGUGGCCACAGAUGGACCUUCCAGGCAGGCAGGUUCGCCUCUGAGAUUUUUUGUGCCUUACCUAAUGCCUGUGCCUCCUUUUGAGGGUUGUGGAUGCCCCGUCCUUGGAGGUGUACAAGACCAGGUUGGAUGGGGCCCUGGGCAGCCUGAGCUGGUGGGUGGCAGCCCUGUCCAUGGCAGGGGGAUGGAACAAGGCGAUCUUUGAUAUCUCUUCCAACCUUCCAGCAUUUCUAUGGUUUUAUCAUUGUAUGAUUGCUCAUGUGGGAAAGAAACACUUUUUCCUUCCCCUUUCCCGCUCCAGCAACGAAAGCAUGGAAGAACUGGGAAGAUUUUCUUCCCAGAAAAUUCUCAGCAUUCCUGGAAGUUUGCCACCGAGCUAAAAAGCUGGGUGGAACUUUUCACACUGGGAAAAACAUGUGCUCUAAAAAAGUCCUGAGGACCUGGAAAUGAGAGACGAUUUGGGAAAGCACUUCAAACUUCACACGGACUGGUCACUGUUGGCAGUUUGUAUAAUAACCCUGGGAAAUAAGUGAUUACGCUUGAUGACAGCAGCAAUAAUUAAACGCCAGAGUUGGUCAUUACAAGAGUUAACCACUGAUUAAUUAGUCUGUUUGUAUUAAAAAAACAGGGCUGGCCUCACUAACUAAUAAAUUGUCUGUGUACAGCUGCUACCAAAGAGAUCACUUGUUAGAUAAUUGCUUAAGUCAUUUUUAAAUUGUUUUAAUUAAGUUCCAGUAAUUGGACUCCCCCCAAUUCACUUCCUCUCUCUCUCUCUUUUUUUUCUUUUUUUUUCUUUUUUUUUUUUUUUGGUAGAGUGGGAAGGGAACAAACACCAUAUAUGUCUGUAAUAGGAAGCAACAGAAGUAUGACUAGAAAUCUAUAGGAAAAUAAACACCCAUCAUGAAUCCCUCAUCUUCCCAGAGGCUUGUAGGAAUCUAGAGAAGAUUAGAUCUUAAUGUUAUUUUAUCUACUUUGCCUUGCAGAGCCUGAGCUUAUACCUCAUUCGGUGCAUUCAUAAUAGGGACAGGGAUUCUCAAGUCAGUGAAUCCAUGUAUACUCACUCACUCAGUCUAUUAGGUGUGCCAUUAGCCAGCCAGGAGGUGUUGUGGGAGCAGUUUAUGGCUUGGUGGUAAAGCCUUGCUCACAGCUUUGUUGUGCCAAAUCCCCUCUGCAGACCUGCUGUUUGCCUUUCUUUGCCUGGUCUUCAGGAGUGCCCACACUGGCCACAAGCCUGGUGGGAAGCAGGAGGAGAAAGGGAAUCCGUGCUGGUGGGGUCAGUGACAGGGAGGGCUGCCUUCCUCAGAACAGCCUCCUGACAUUGCCCAUGUAUUAAGUAACAGAGACACUGGCAUGAGCUUGAGGCAAGUUCUUUUGUUCCUGGAAAUUCAGUCACAGUGGACUCGCUGGAAAAAAAAUCCUUUUUAAUAGGCUGUUGUUCUCCGCAUUACCGGUCAUUACCAUAGGACCUGCUCUUAAGGAAAACCCUUGGGCAUCAUCAUGCAUUGACUCCCCUCUGCAUAAGGCCACUUUGUUAAUGACGUCAUCGACCCAUACAUCCAAUAUGACAUUUUCUACCACAGCAUUGCAGUGACAGGGAGCCUAGCUCUGGGGCACAGUCACCCAGGCAUAACACUAGUUUCUGCUGAAAUACAGAUGUUUGGCAGCUUGCUGGACAGGGUUCAAUCUCGAAUGUAUUUCCUCGUAUCGGGGUUAAAACUUAAGGCAUUGGAUUCAGAAAAACAGUGGAAUAACAGAAUCAGAAAAGCAGAAAUGAUCACGUUCUGUUAUCACUGAAAGAGUUACCUACCUGCCUUAAAAUGCAAACAAAUACACUCACCUCCCUUGCCCGGUGCACAAACAAACCCGCCCUAUUCAUAAAGGUACAUUGAAAGUGUGCUCUGAUAAAGAACAUUCAACUUGUAUUUGCCAUCUACCUAUGUGGCUCUGCAAAUAUUAGUUCUGAGAGGUGCUUUUCUUUCAUCUUAACAAAAUGUGAUGGCUUUUUAAUUGAGAAACAGUCUCACUGGGGAAUGGCACAGCCACAGCUAUAACCACCGGAGGUGUCAAAAUAUGCAGUGCAAUUGGCAACAGUGUGAGAAAGCCAAUGAGAAACCUUCCUGCUAACCCCUGCCUCUCCCAGCACCGAGGUGUUCCCCUCAUUCUCACUUGCGGGCUCAAGUGUGCUUUGAGCAAAACAGCCGCGAAUACAUAAGGAAAAACACGGUUGGGUUUGCAGGGUGGAAGGGGAAGGAUGGGAUACCUGCUGUACCUGCUGUAGGGAACCUGCUUUGGAAGGGGGGUUGGGCUAAAUGAUGUCUAGAGGUCUCUUCCAACCCCUACAAUUCUAUGAUUCUGUGACUCUGUGCAGUUGUAACCUCUAGGAGUGGGAUGGGAGGAACCAAGUGAGAUGUGGUUGUACCAGUAGACUUACUGCAGUGUGGCAAGCAACUUACUGGGGUGGAAAGUACUCUGUCUCCUUAUGCAAAGACAACAUUUGCAGCCACCAAGCCUCUCACAGGAUGCCCUCCCAGAGCCCCCGUUCGCCAACGCUUGUCAUCCUUUUGACUCCCUCCUUCAUCCUUCCCUUCUGUUCUCAGCACUGUGACUAAUUCCUGUCUCACUUCUUCUUUUCCAUGUUGCCUUAUGAAUGCCUUUCUUAACAUUCCUGUUUCCCAACCCUCUCUCUGACACCACUGCCUCCAGCAGCCCUGCAGACACAGGACCUCACACAGAAGCUGUCUAGACAAACCCACAAAGGCCUGGGAAGCACUUGGACGCUACCACAAAAGGUUAUGCAGAAAAAUUAAUCUGGAAAUUGCAGCCCAUUUCCUCCGCAGCACAGUUUUAAUCAUGGCUUGUAAAUAAGGCAUGAGACACACUCUGAAUAAUGAGGAGAAAUGAUGGAAAGUAUGAAAUACCUGAUCGUGAGAUCACCAUUUAUUUUGGACAAUGAAUAUAGGAAAGGUUCCCAGGGAAAUGCCAUUAUGCAAGUACAUAGGUUCAAGAUGAAAGAUGGUAUCGUAAUGCGUAUGGAAAUGGAAGUCACAUGGACCUUGCCAGACAAUCCUAUGUCUAACUUAUAGCCUAAAAGCUUAAUUUCGCCAUUUUAAAAGCUUUUUAAACUCAUGGGAUCAGGGCUUUAUUUUGUUAAUCACUUCUAUGGAAAUGCUCCCAGUGUGGAAAAGGAAUUCAGUGACCGAUAAAAUAACAUUUCAUGUUUUUGUCAUUGUAUUGAGCUUGAAUUUUCUGUACCGAAGUGUGGGGUUUCAGCCAUUUCUUUACUUAAGAGAAAAAAGAGCUUUGCUGAGCAAGAAGGAAAAAAAUCCCCGAAAAAGAAAGACCCUAGUCACAUAAAAAUUGUUCCAUGUUUUUUGGUGUAUUCAGCACUUUUCCUCAGUACAGUUCACAGAACGCUCACAUGAAUAAAGCUCCCCUUUUCUUUUUUUAUUUUUAAUUUUUGUGUGUGUGUGUUUAAUUAGAUUGAGCCUGGAGAGAGAGAGAAACCAAAUAAAUCUUUAAGUGAGUGUAGGGAGGGAUGGAUGGGUGAAAACACUUAAGUGAAAGUAAGAAACGGGUAAGGCUUUCACUGAGAUUUCCUGAGGUAGAGUAUUCUUUAAUCCUGGGUUACUUUCCUGGACUCAGACUAAAGGCAGAAAGUGCCUGAUUUCUAACACAGGUCAUAGGAUUUCAUCCAACUCAUCCUAUGGGCAGUGAAUGCACCAUGGUCAAGCUUUGCUCCAGCUGUUGGAGCUGUGGGGCUGAGAAGGGUCCUGGGGAGGGUGGCAGGGUGUCUGAGCCUUCCCUCCAGCUUGAAUCCCUUUCACAUCAUUACCGGAGGCUUUUUGUUUUGACCCAUUCCUUCACAGCAAAUCGAGGAAAGGCAAAUUCCUUUUUGUUCCUGAAGGCUCUAGGACCUGUGGAAGGCUCAAAGUGCUUGUUAAAGGUACCUGUUGAUUUCACUGCUCUGCCAGGAAAGAUUUGAGAGGUGCUGGCACUCAGUCCCUUGCUGCUUUCUUGGUGCUGGACCCAUCCUCACUGCAGACAGACCAGCUACAGGCAUCUUUGCAUGCACUUGGGACAGCAUCAGCAAAGCUAACUCAGGUAUAGAAGCGGCAGUGUUACAGGAUGCAGUACUACAGCUUCAGGCACUUUGUCCACACUGCAUCUUGGGCUCUAAGCUGCCACAAUUUUAUUGCUAGUGGUGUACAAAUUAGCCGCAUUAAGACUAGCUCCACUCCUCCUGUGAUUGCUGCAAUCACCAUCCAUUAGCUUUAGUAGCUUUAUUACAAUCCCUUUUGCUCCUUUAGGCUAGCAAGAAAAAGGAACAGCCACCAGCUCUGAGCAGCCUUUCUCUGUGCUGCCUCACAGGCUGGCCUCCUGCAGCAGGCACACAGAGAGGAGCAGCCCGUGGUGCAGCCUGUGGGCUGGAUGUUACGUCAUUUACCUCCCGUGUUUCUGUUUGCUGAUUCAAUUUCAGAGCUUUGACUUCUGUGGGAAGUUAACCACAGAGUCAACACAGGAGCUGGCUAAAAGAAACGUUCCCGUCAGUGCGCUGCUUUGCAGGGCUGAGAAAGGUGAUAAAGGCUCUUUAGCAAUAGCAAGAAUUGCCCUGGUGGUGGCAAACCUUGCCAGUUGGCUGGAUUUUUUUUUGGCUCUGGGUGUGACAGUGCCAAGUGCUCAAAUGCUCUGUGCCUUCUACCCGGGAACAAGCCCUUGCAGGUGUGUGUCCUCACUGUGAUCAUCAGAAGCUGCUCGCCUGCAGGUCCUGUUGGUAGUGGGAGAGAAUCUGGGAACUCAGCUGGAAUGAAAGCUGCUCUCAUUAGCAAGGGUGGCUCCUCCAGAGCAGGAUGGAAACACGUCGGCUGCACGCUGCGAUCUGACACAGCUAGCGCAGCAGCUGCCUGUGCUGGGUGUGACCUGGGGUGCAGGAAGAAAGCAGGAUGUGGGCUUGUUCAUCCAACGCAUCUCCAAAGCACUAUAAAAAUAGCCUGGGAGCUGCUUUGUUUACAAAUGAGAUGUUAUUCUUAGCAGUGGGGAGAAAGGAAGUGCAGAAGGCUGUGGCACUGCACUUCACACUUGUUCAUUUACCCAGGCUUCCUCCGAGGAGCCCCGCAGCCAACACAGGCGAGCGGAGUAGGUUUGCAGCAGGAGAGCCAGUUUACAUGAUUCACUGAUGGAAAUAAGGCCUUUUGUGACACUCCGUGCAGUGUGAAACAUGUUGUUCUUCAGUAUGGGGCGAGCCAUCUGAGGCAAAUGCUACCUAUUCAAUAAGGAGAUGAAGAGGACCAGAUGGAAAGAUGAAUUUGCUUUUCUAGGAUCCAAGAGAGUGGGCUGAUGCUAUGGCAAGCAGGGAUGAAAGCUGAGUUGCAGAGUGAGGAUCUAGCUGCAGAUCUAAAACUCCUCAGGUGGAGAGGGAGAGAAGCGCUGGCCCAAAUGUUCACAGAGAAACUGUAGGAUGAAGACAACUGAAGGUGCUUUUAGUGUAGCUCUGACCUUCAGCACAGCAACACCUGCCGCCCAUCUGUUUCUUAAGUCAAGAUGUUCACGCCUUAAAUAACUAGGCACAAGAGCACCCCACUUCAUGGGAUGUGUAUUCACAUACUGACCGUGGCGGUCCGGCUCCCAGAAUGACAUCUCCCUGCCAGCACCUGGGUCCACCAUCUCUGACUAUCUCUGUCCCUCAGGUGAGGGCAGUCCCAGCUUUUUGUUUGCAUGUAAUGCCCCUUUCAACCUCCCAUACACCAGAACUCCCCAACUCUGUCUGAAAUCCUCAUCCCUCUCUCCUACUGCCUGAUCUCCGCUUUGGCACUGUCCCAACACGACCACAUCCUCCAGAUCUUUGCCCACCAGCUCCAGUGUUCCCACUCUGUCUCCACAGGGCAAUUCCUAUCCCACCUCCCUGGCAGGCAAUGUGCCUGUGCUGCCCACCGCUCAGCGCUGACACAGGUUGCUCUACUCCCCUCCAGCCCCACAGAGAGCUGCACUUCAGAGGCAGCUGGACAUCUUUUUACAGAUGGGGCUUAAUGCCACUUGACGGACCACAGCACUAUUUUUAUGCCAAGUUAGCACAGGCUCAGUAUGCUGAGCAUGUGAGCGUUUCACCCAAGCUCGUUUCUGAAAUAUAAAUACCAUUCAACCAAAGUUAUUUAGAACUUCAGUUGGAUCGACCCGAUCUGAGCCAAUUAUUUUCCCCGACAGAAUUAAUUAGAAUGCAUAUAAAGUGAGUGAGAUGUGAAAGGCAGAAUUACUUAUUCCAUUAACAGCUGGUUUGGGGAAAAAAAGACGCUGUCCUUGAUUUGGCUUUGCUGCGGCCUUGUCAUGAAGAAGGCACUCAGGGUUUUCACAUGGGAAGCUGUUCUGCUGGCAGCCACAGUUCACUUGAUGUUGGUUUGCAUCAACAAGCUCCCUGCGCUCCUCCAUUUGUGAUGAUAAGGGCUGGCUGUUUAAAUGCUGUCACAGAAUCCAGACUCCCUCCUCGCUCGGAACAACUGUUGCUUGGAGCUCUUCUACAGAGCUAAUUUAUUGCCAAUGAAAGUGAGAUGUAAAUAGCUUGCAGCAGGUACGCAAGCAGGCAUUUCUUCACUGUGCAGUGCCUGGAAAAGAGCCAGCUGGUGCACAUACACAGCACUGGGGGAGUGGCCUUCCAGGCGCAGGGAAAAGCAGGACUGGCUUUGAAAGCAAUAAUCGCCUUAUGGGAAUAACUCCAGCCAAAGUGGGGAUAAACUGAAAAGUUGAAGACUCGUGCUCAAGUUUCCCUGGGACUCCUCUCUUCCCCAGAGUACCACUGCAGGUCCCAUCCUAUAUGAAUAACUCAUUUUGGGGCAACGUACAUGCCAGUAUGUUAGGAUAAAGCCUGUUUUCUUUUCAAACACAGAUCACGAGAAACAAGUGUGAUGAAGAACAUGGGGUUGAGGCCAUCUUCCAUCCUCUGCCUGGGGGGAGGGGUUCAUGUUGUCCCACUGAGCCUUCCUGUGCCCUGACAGGGAUGUUCCGGGUCUGUUUGUGCCCAGGUUUACAGGAACUAAUGAACCAUCCUCUUCCUCAAGAGCAAACAGUUUACAUCUCACAGUCAGUAAACUCAGGCUCUUUGCAUUCACCACCUUCUUGCUGACAAAAUCCACACUGUGUCUGUAUCUAGCAUUUAUUGAGGCCAUGACCAAGUUCCACUUUAUACUCUUGGUUUCCGGUGACAGUACCUUUUGGUGCUGUCCUGACCCCCAGCAUCUCUCUCAGUCUCAUAGCACUCUCUGAAGCUGAACCUCACCUCCUGACAGCUUCCAUGAUGUUUGCCAAGAAUCAGACCUGAAGCUCUGGAAGGCAGGUAUUCACCCCCAGGCCAAUGCUCAUCUCCUGAAGGGGGAAAGGGCUCAUCUUGUCCCUGCAGAUGGCUUGUCCUCAUCUGCAGUUUUAUCCCAGCUCGACUCUUUUUCUGUCAUCUCUUUUGGUUUAACUCCACGCUGCAGGUUAAUAUGGGCAAACUGGUGACCUACAGAGCACUGUAUUGCUGUAACCUCCCAUGACUCACAGAAGUAUUAUUUCCUAUUUUGUGGAGUUAUUUUAAUAACUGUUGCAUUGCUUCCUGACACACAUUAAUACUUUGUAAUUAGAUGUGCUUUGGGGAGGAGGAAUGGACCAUACAGUCACGUAGUCUCUUCCCAGUCCAAUGGUUUGGCUCAUGAAGAAGAUCAGAGAUGUCCUGAGAGGUGCUUGGCCAUUGCCUAUGCCCUCUCAUCUGCUCUGAAAAGUCUUCAGUGAAGACAAUGCUGUAAUCUCCUUCCUUGUUCCUUCCAGGACACACGGCUCUCCUACAGUCUUUGGUUACACCUACUCCAAGGGUAUGUUGCUAUACAUUAAACCAAUUAUUUCUCAUCCCACCUGUCAGAGGCAAGGAGGAAAGAAAAAAAAAGAACAGUUUGUGAUUCCCCUCAGUCAACCAUUUUCAAGACAAAACAAAAAUCCCCAUCAUCUCACAUUUCCUGAAAGUUUCCUUUUUCUGUUGCUUUGCCCUAAUUGCCUCUGGUAUGAUAUCCAAAUCCAGACACGUUGUACCAGGUGGGAUGUCAGCAGCUCUCAUACUAUCUGCCUGCUAACACCUCCUACCCAAAGAUUCACCUUUGUCCAAACAGCAGCAUAUUGUUGGCUCACUCAGAUUGUGGCACACCAAACUGCCUGCUCCCCUUCUCAUGUGCUGCUGUCUCAGCAGCUUUUGUGCACUCAGUAUGUACGCAUUUGAUUUCUAUGUGUAAUACUUCCAACUUGUCCCAGAACGAUUCCAUCUCGCUGAGCCCAGAUCAAUUCUCCAUCUCAUCAAGAUCACUCUUUUUCUGAUUAUGUCCUCCAAACUCAUUAUAGCUCCUUCCCAGCUUGGUGUCUGCUGCUUAUGAAGUCUUUUCCAUCAUCCACCCCGAUAAUGAAGACAGUGAACAGAAAUAGUCCCAAGGAAAAAAUUCCCCUGUAGAAUCCAACAUGAAAUGCCUUCUCAAUUUGAUACAAGCGCUUUGUGAGCCAGUUACUGCAUUUCAAUAACUUGAAUGCUACUUCAUGGUGAUUUUUUUUUCUAAUGAAGAUUCAGCCAGAAAAGCAUUGAAUACUUCAAACAUCUCUUUGUCAUACUUUAUUUGUUCUCUGCGUCAAUUAAGCAAUGGAGUUUCAUCUCUCUUUGCUUUACUUCUGCUUCUUAAGCAUUCAGAAAUAUUGUUUACAUUGCCUUGUUGCCUUGGUUUUGCUAUUUGCAAAACUCCUAUUUUUUUUUCUUUUUUUUUUUUGGAUUUCAAGUAAUGAAGUGCUCCUGAUGCAGCUAUAUAGGUUUAACUGUAAACUCUACUGCUCCUUUGCGGUAAGACAAGUGGCCAAUUUGCUUGUAAUACAGCCAUCAGCUCCCUGCACUUCUUCACUCAGAAUUUCCCCCCAAGAGAUGCUGCCUAACUGCCUUCUGAAAUUGCUGAAAUCUGCUUUUUUGAAGUCCAGGUUUUCAUUCUGCCACCCUUAGACCCUGAAAUAGCCAGUGAUUUGUUCCCCGGCUGCAGCUUCAGGAGAAGAGGAGGCAGACACAGAGAAUGUCCAAUUCUUGUUUCACAAAUUGGCCCCCUCCAGGACUGAGAUGGAUGGGCAGGAUAAUCUGAAAACUGCCGCUGUCUUCGCUGUACUUGAUCUGUAGACAAAGUACUUUGACUUUAAGAGCAGUAAAUCUAGAGGCCUUCAUGAGCACAACAAAGAAAGAGGAAAUCCUAUCAAUUAAGAAAGGAGCAAAAGGAAAGAUAGAAGAUCUCAACUGACAUAUGAGACAGUCAUGUUUUAAUUUGUUCUUUGAGAGAUGGAUUGCUCUUUGAGAGAUGGAGUAGCAAAUUAGGGUUACUGGCUAAUUUGGGCCGUUGCCAGAAUAGACCAAACAUAAUUUGAUUCACUCAAAUCAGCUACCGAGGGGCAGGAAGUUGGAAUUAAUCUAAUGAAAUCAGAAAUCAUCCAGAAACUUUAAUAUUAAAUGCAAAACGUUUGUUCUAGCACAGCACUAAAAUCAAAAAUGAAAGCCAGGAAGCAAGUCAGGAAACUCACCAACAAAGUCCCUUUUGCAAACUUUUCAUACGAGAGCUCUGGGAGGAGGAGGCACGUAGCUUUUGGUGCAUGAUGACACACCGCAGUCAUGGGGACAGAGAACCAAGCUAUUUGCUUGGGGCUUCAGAAGGAAAGAUGGCUUUUUUCUUUUUCUUAACAAAUAGGGGUUAACUACUGCAGAAGGAGAUUUAGAAAUAUUUCAGAACCUAAUUAUAGUGUUUUAUCAACUUAUAGAUGGAAAAUUGCAUCUGUGACUUUCUCAGGAACACUGGCAAGGAGCCACAUCGCAAAAAUACUUCUUUGCACAUACAUCAAGAAGAGAUCAAAUGCAUUUAUGAUACGUAUAUUAAUUAUUCCUAGAUAUCUCAACCACUGCUCAAGUGAGGAUCACAAGCCUGACCCUGAAAGCUGUUGAGUACUAAUAACUUUCACAAACCUCAGGAAGAAGAGUAGGUGGUCGGUGAUUUAGCUACAUCACCUGGAAAGUCUGGCAACUGUGUAGGCACCCAUAUACUGGGACAAAUAUCACCAGGGCCAAGUUUUGACCCAACCAGGUUCUGAAACGGCUGAUCGGAAAAUGUCUGUCCCAUUUCAGUGAGGAUUUCAGUAAGUGGCAAUAUGGCCUCCUUCAGAUUUGGGUGUCUUUCCCACACAAAUCUUUCCAAGAUCUCAUUCAAAUUGGGGAGGCACCCCAUGUCACUGAUUUGCAGAUCCUGGGCCUGUGCCCAGGAGAUCUGACCAAGCGUGUUCGUAGGAAAUUGCUGCUUCGCUGAGAGCAGAGCACCUUUAGCAAAGGCAUCAGCUGAGCUACAAAAAGGUUUAUCUGUGUUUGGUUUUUUUUUUCCAAGCAGCUCUGCUAAUUUGGAGUAAGGAGUAACCUGGCUUUCUGAAGUAAUUGCUUUUCUGUUCUCUCUCCAUAUCUCUUCUUCAGAGGCCAGGUUUACAAGACACUUUGUCUGUUUCCCAUUUUCAUGCCAAAUUGCUUCUUCUGGUCCAUUCACUGCCCCAGGCUGAGAGAAGUACAUGGGGGGCAGCGAGCAGAAAAGCCCAUCUGGCUGAUGUUUUCUGACAGCCCUGUACAGCAUGGGGCUGGGGGUUUACUGACUGCUUUAAAAGGAAAAUAAAGCCCAGCUGUCCUGGGCCAGUCCUGCAACUGAAAGCUCUACGUGGGGAACCUGACUGCCCAAAAUAACCAUAGAAUCAUUAAGGUUGGAAAAGACCAUUAAGACCAUCUAGUCCAAUGUCAAACCGCCCCCCUAAUACCCUCUAACCUAUGUCCUUAAGUGCCAUAACUAUCUUCUUAAAAACUUCCAGAGAGGGACGGAGCACACCUGUACCCUGCAAUCCUUCAACCCCAGGUGCAGGUUUUUAAUUGGAGGAGCGCCAAAGAGGAGAAGGGCCAUGGCCAGGAACAGUAAAGGCUGGGACCAAACCCGACCCAUUUCUUUAGGCAGCAGUAAGCUGCUCCUUGAGCCCAUCUCCUCAAGCUAGCCCAGGCAGAGUCUGCAACUGGGAACAAGGGCUAGCUAUGCAAGCCUGUUUUUAGCAUAUCUUUGGCUCUGCUCACAGCUGAAGUGUGCUCAGUAACCACUCCUAUUAAACUGAUUGCCAGCCACUGUUUGAUUUUUGAUAUACGUAAGGUCAUGUGUGCAGUGAGUUUACACAGCAAGUGGCAGUUUUAUAUUUGGAAGACAUUUGCAGUGGAUUAGUUUGAGGGUCUGGACCAACAGAAGAACUGCCAAAUGACAAGAUCAGAAGCGCGUUUAGAAUCAUCUGUGUGCUUGAAACUGCAGUGAUAUGAGGUAUUUACCUCAGUUUCCUCCACAGGUCAGGUACCUUUCUUUUGCCAUAGGUUAAGGCUGUGAGCAUGGAUUAGGACCACUAGGACCAUGGAUUAGUACUUGACUGGCUUUAAGCUCACUCCCUGGAUUGUUUGUAUUAGGCUGCUCAUUUGCCCUUAUCCUCUGGAGUACUUGAGUUUGAUGCAAGCUUCUCUUGUAGAGUAAUUUGCAUUUUGGUGUAUGUUUCCAGGAGAGAACGAUAGCAUUUUACAUGUGUAAAUGACUACAAAGUAUACUGGGGAAGGGAGAAUUAGAUCCUUAUCCUUUGAAAUGAUAUCAAAAAAACAGAGGCAAUUUAGGAUUGGACACAAAGGAUAUUUCCUCAUUUUCAAUCUAAAAUAGUGAGAGAAUUGUAUUAAAAACUAUAAUUAUGUAGAAAAAGCUUUAGCUAAACUUGUGUUACUACAUAUUCAAAAUCACUUUCUGCACAAAAUCUUAUCCCUUCGAAAAAUUAAGAUAAUGUAUUCGUGUGAGAACUCAAAAGAUUUCAAUUUCAAUUUAUUGUCAAGGUUGAGAGGUUCUGAAUAGGGCUCCUGAGGAAAAGGGCAACUUUGCUAUUAAAACGGUAGCACUUUAUUGCUUGAAAGUGAUUUCCAACCACCGACUAAUUCAGCCACAGAAUAACAACCUGUGGCACAGGACAGCUGUAAUUCCCCUUACAAUUCCCAUUUCAUAGUUGGAAAGCUGAGGUGCAACUGUUGAAUGUUUUCUUUGAAGCAACAGCCAUUGAAAAAGCAGGAUUUGGACAGGAUUCUUAUACUCUCAGGUGUGAACAUGCAAUGAAGACCACAUACAAGACACCAUUCUCUUCCAUGUCAUCAAUUCUUCAAAAUAUAACCUAAAAAUCAGAAUUUUCAGAGAUACAGGUAAAACAAAAGCUAUUCAGCAACGCCAUUCUCUAGCAACACAGCACUAGCUUCAUGUAAAAGGUGAUUCUGGUCAUCUCAUGAGAUAAUAAACAUAAUUGUCUAUAUCUAAAAACAACUUCCAUAUCUUUUGCACUUCAGUCAGAACUACCCAAAUUCCACCUCCUGGUAGGGAAAGGGUGACUAACUGUCUCAGGGGGAGGAAGAAUGUUUUCUUCAUGACUCAUAUGGGCUAUUUGGACUCAACUGGUUUUAUUUAUUUUUUCAUGUUAAGAAAAAAAGAGUAUCACCUACACAGAAGUUGUAGAUGCCCAAAGAAUUCAUUUGAAUGGCUUCAGUAUCUAUUGCUUUACCUCUGCUCAUGAAGAAGGCCCUGUCUAUUGCUUGAGCAGAGGCUCGUGUGCAAUGAGCUGCAACUCUUCCUGAGUCUAAGAGCCUGAAAGUGCCAACUGAAUGAAGUCUGUGGUCCCAAAUGUAGUUCUAUGAGGAAAAAAAGUUGUGAACAGCAGUUCUGUGACUUGCAGGCUCGGUUCUCCAUGUGUUGGGUAAUGUGGAGGAUGCAGUGAAAAUCAGCAUUUGAACAGCUGAACUUUGAGGACAAAGUCAACCUACAGAUAAAGAUGUCAUGAUUUCCUUCAAAAAAUAGUCUUGCUAUUUUAUAUCAAGACAGAAGUGGUGGCAUAUGUAUGAGUUCAUCACUUAACCCUGUGGUUGAGCUGAGCCAUCAAUUAUUACUGAGUCAAGCUGAGAACGGGAAAGGCUGGAAAGACCUUGCAUCAGUCUUUAACAACAACAGACCGUUCCACACACGACUGUCACUAGGGAAUAGACUCUGAAGCAAUGGAUUUUCUUCAAGAACAAGGAGGAGUUUUAAACAGAAAGAACUGCAUAAGAAUAUCUUUCUUGAUGGCUUUGAAGCCCAAAUAGUGGGGGAUCUUGAUCUGAGCCAAAGGUAUGUCCUACAUAGUCUUAUGGAAAAUAAGAAAGUGGUUUUCUAUCAAUUCCUAGAGUAUGAGGCUGGAAAGGACUCUUCAAGACAAGCUUCUCACACACCUUGGGCUGUUGAUUCUGUCCAGUUAACCACUGUUGAGCCUGACCAUGUAAAUCUAACAGUGUAAGUUACGUCCAGGAAAGGCUUCAGCUGACUUUUGACAUUAAUUACAUGUCUGGACAGUUCAGUUAAAGAUGUCUUUCUCUCCGCUCUUCUAGAGGUAAAAGAUUGGUGGAAACAUUCAGGGCCUGAAUCAGCAGAGACUCACCAGCCUCUGAGACAGAAGUCUGGAAGGAAAAUGGCUAUUAUCAAACAGGACUAGAACACCCUGAAUUAUGUCUCCACAGGCAUUACUGUUUAGUCAUAUACAAUCUGACUUUAUGAGUCACUGAAACUUACAUCAUGCAAAGAAAUGGUCACGUAGCUCAUGUAGAAGUAUAGGCAAUUCCAAUGGCUUCACCCAAAUGAAACUUACCCCGGACUAGGAUUUGACUAAGUGUGUGGAACACUGUUGAGUGUCCUACAAGGAAGAUGCUCAACAGUGUUAAAUUGUUCUGUCAGAUCUAUGAUGAGCACUUGAUCAAAGUUGUGCAUUCUUUAAAAAGUCCAUUGAGAGAAUCCUGCUUAACAGGUAGACAGUAUAUUAAUGAAAGAUGGUAGUAUUUUCCUCAAAUUAUGCCAGAGGAGAAAUCAAUUACUGGGAAAAUGGAUGAAGAAAAUGAUCUCUACCUUCUGCAGUCUCUGUGCUAUUUUUGCCCUCUGCAAUCUGAUUUCCACGAAACAUUUCUGAACAGUGCAUGUUUUCUGAACACAAAUUCCUUAGACUUGCUACUAUGAAUGCCAUAAUUGCAAACUAAAGAGAUAGUGCCCUGUUCCAAAGGCCUUUGACUGGGAAAGACUGUAUUUCAAAGGGAACCUGCAGCUCAUGCCGCAAUAUUAUAAGCAACUACUGCCCAAGUAGGAGUUAGACUGACAGAGGGAGGUGUAAACUCCCUGAAGGCGGAUGAUGGGGAGAGUGUAAAUUAUUUCCAGUGGUAUAGGCUGAGUUCAUGUUCGGAAUCCAAAUACAAUUUCACUUUGAUUUUAAUGCCUCCUGUCGACUCAUGCCAAUGCAAGGUUCAGGUGUAGCAUCGUGAACAACACUUACUUGUAACCGGUUUCACCCAGUGGAGUUUACAAUAGUAAUGAAGUAACUUGCAGAGUGUUUUUAUAAGUAUGUGUAUGCUUUGAACAGUGCUGCUUAAAGGAUCCCUGCUUUGUCAGCUCCCCUUCUGUAUUCUUUUUAUUCCUUCUGAACAACUCUUCCUACAUCCUCCCACCUAGCAGAAACACUAGAAAAACACUUGAGCUUUGCUCAGCCAAUCUCAUUUUCAGAAGAAGAGGUGUUAUCCUGUUGACACCAGGAUAGGGUCAGCACCAACAAAUCACCCACCUGUGUACACCACCACCACUAUCCCCAGCAACAGGCUUCAGGUGAAAUUCUGCCCUAGAGAAGUGAGAUCCAGGCUCAGAAUCUGCUCCUGUAAACUCCAUGAGGAUAUCACCCCUGAUAGGAUCUGUAUGGCUGUUGCUGUGAAAUAUGCUGCCUCCCAUCCAGGUGUGUCUGUGGAGUUGCUCAACUCACAGCCACUCACUCUUGCCUUGCUCCACGAGGAGUGCUUUUAGAUGCCUAUGGCAAAGAACAAAAUUCCCAGGGGGUUUAUUGUUGCUGCUGGGGAGAUUUACUUGGCAGAAGCCUGUUUUCAGCACUUGCUUUGGUGGGCUUGAAUCAUGUCCCACCCUGUCAGCUCAUAGUGCCAUCCCAUGCCUUCUGCUUCUGGGAAAAGAGGAGGAGCCAGCACAGAGCGAUUGGUGUGUGCGUCUGUUUGUCUUGUGCAUGAGAAGGCAUCUACUCAUCACCUCGUCAUCUCUCACUGUUUAAAUGCAUCACUCCUGCAUAUACAUGAGGUUUGAGCCUGUCAGCAUUAGCCAGACUUCUUCCCACAGGUGGGAGAACAUCUCCUGGCAUGUGCAACAUGGGAAUGCGAUGGGGGAAACAUUGGUUUCUGCAGCUGGUACCUGAGGGAGCCCUCGCUUAUGCCCUGAUCUCUGAAAAACUGCUGGCCAAAGGAAGGAGGAAGAAAUGUACUCUGAUGCCACAGCAAGAGUGAGAAGAAAACAGCUUCUGGUGUUUCUUGCUCUCCACUGUUGAUAUUACUCCCAGCGUGAGCAACUCAACAAAGCUCAUGGCUCUGCAGGGUGUUUCCAUUCUUCGGAAAGCUCAUAGCUCUGCAGGGUGUUUCCAUUCUUCGGAAAGCAGUGACAAGCCAUUGUGUCUUUGAUAGAUCCCUGUUUUAUCUGCUAAAAACUCAGAUCCCUGGGCUCUGUAAGACUCAGGCAACGGGAGAUCACCUUCUACUCAACACAGCCAUCACUGAGAAGAUCUCCUACCUUUGGCACUUCUUUCACUGUCAAGCUCCCAGCACCUUUCUAAGCACUGCUGAAGACAUGCUCUGCUGACUCCACUCGUGGUUUCUGUGGGCUUCCCACUUUCCUCUCCUGGGCACACAAAAUGCCUCACACUGUCCCCUGAGCAUGACCUCCAUUUGGGAAAAUUACCACCGUUAUUUCUGCUCACUGACUGUCAUGAGGCCUUACCCUCUCCUCAAAGCUCCUGGAAAAAAAACAUCCUAUGCUCCUCAUUUUCAACAGAAAUAUUUAUAUUAUGAGUUCUUUAUAUUAGGAGUUCAUGCCUCAGAGGCUCAUUUACAGUCCUGUUGUAACUGCACAGUGGUAACCUGCGUGUACAUAACAGCAUGAUGGACUGUAAUGUGCUACGCUUAGCGAGUGCAGCAGUUCACUCACUCUCCUUGAAGAACAAACAAACAACAGCCUCUGCACAGAACAGGCUUGGAGAGACACAGAGUGCCGACUCCUUCAUCCUUUGGGGCCAGGGGAGGGAACAAGUGAUAAAAGGAUUUACCUGUCCCGGUUCAGCUGGCUGAUGUGCCGUAUCCUCAGAAGAAGCCUCCUGCCAGGCAGAGUCCUACCUACAUCAAAGGCUGACAGGAUGAGUCACCGGGUGCUAGGCCCUUCACAGGCACAUUUCCACCCUGUCAGCAAGAUCAGGUUCUCGUUAGCAUUCCCAGGUUCACUAACAGCCUCAGGCGUGUGUCACCACAUCAUCUCUUCAGGAACAAAUGACUCGGUGUGGGGGUUCAACGUGGCACACUGGAAGGCUCAGAGGCAGGCCUGAGCCUGGGGGCUCUGACUCACCAGCAGGACGGGGUGGUGGGCCUUGCAGCAAGAUGGUUGCUCUGAGAGCCCGUGUUCCCCUGUGCAGACAUCUCAGGUGGUGCUGAGAUGGGUCCUGGGCAGCCACAGCCUUCACGCCAAAGCGUGAGAGAGAAAUGGAUGUAGAAUGUGAAUUGAGUGGGAGCCUCCUUAGCGGUGGGCUGCAGGGGUGGGUGGCAGAGGGAACCAGGUGUCCUGAGGACACUGUACUCAGAUGAACACAGAUGUACUGUUCAAGCCACACACGUACCUCUCCUUCACUGGAAUUUGUAUUAGGAUGAAAACUGGCUGUCAGACAGGCAGGUUGGGGUGAAAAGGCCCUCAAAACCAGAGACCCAGCCUUCAGCCUUAAGACUAUCCACUGAAAUAAUUCUAUUUUUCUCUCCAUUAUUGUUUAUCUCCACUAUUAGCAUUCUGCCUGUACCUCUAUUAGCAUAUGAACUGGCCCCAUCCCUUCUUUUAAAUCUCUCCGCAGAAACAAAAGAAAUACUCAUGCUCUCGGUAAAUACGGCAGUGCAGGUGCUCCUUACAGAUAAGCUAAAAAAGCGACUUCAAACAUUAGUAAUAACUUAUGAAGGCCACAGCUGAAUUUUUAGUAGCUGAGUACCAGAAACAACUCCUGAGAUACGAGUACAUAUUUCAUAUUUGUCUCUAUUCCAGCACAAAAAUUCAGGUUUGGAGAGAGGUAAAAUUAAGGCAUUUCUCUGUUGUAAGAACAGACAGCACUGAGGUUAUGUUCAGGUCUAUCAGACACAAGCAUCUGGUUUGCUUCACAUUAUGAGAUCAAACAAUACCAACAGCGAUGCCCGUUCUGGGGUAAGCAGCUCAAUUCCUGCAACAGUAAGAGGCCACUAGAGAAGCAGACUAAUUUCCGAGAAGAUAUAAAAAUGAUUGCUCAGAAUCACUUCAUACCUCGCCUGAGGUAAUGAACUGUGGCGGGGAAUGGAUGCACCACAGCUGCCAGCCAAAUUCCACGCAUCCAGCAGCACCAACACACUGCUCCUCCAUCCCACCUCCUCCCUGCAAACAAGACACAUUGCUCCGCCCUCCAUUCCACCUGCAGCCCUUUGCUAUUUGCUGUGAGCAGGGUUUAUUUCCAUACUGGCAGUGGUUGCUGCAAGAGGGGAAAGAGUCAUGGAAUCACAGAAUCGCAGAACGGCUUGGGUUGGAAGGGACCCUAAAGCCCGCCCUGUUCGAGCCCCUGGCAUGGGCAGGGCUGCCACCUACAAGUUCAGGAUGCCUAGGGCCCCAUCCACCCUGGCCUUGAGCACCUCCAGGGAUGGGGCAAUGUCCUACCUACAUCAAAAACUGACAGGAUGACAAACCUGGCACUGCACAGCCUCCCACACAUUGUUGACCCUGUCCCCUCUCAGCCAUGCCCUUCCUCCAGAACAAGCAAGGGCCUCCAAGCUUUUUGGCGUCAAUGCACCACAGUCCACAUGCAGAGCUGGUGGCUGAUACAGUCCUUCCUCGCAGGCUGGGACCCAGGCAGAGGCCAGGUUUUCAAAAAAGAUGCUGCUGUAGAAAGCUGGCUCUGCUCCUGGAUCUCACACUUCCACAUCCCUGCUUCCCAGGUCAGAGGCUGACAUGCUUCUCAGGUGGUUUGGAAGAUACAAAAGCUUUAUGCAAAGAAAUGCCUACCCUAGGGCAUCUGGGAAAGCUAUCCCUUGAAUGACUGCAGCACUGUGCCCCUACACAGUCCCUAAAGACAAGUGAUCGGGAAUUUUUAAGACUAAUCAGCUACACUGAGGUUUGUGUCAGCCCUGUAUACUGAAUUAUAGCUUCCCAGAUCUUUUAUGUGCUGCAGUUGAAUUUCUUUUUCAGUAUCAAAGGCUACAUUCCUUUUCUCUGUGAUAUAUUUUUAAGAGUGAUAAGAGAUCAAUAAAAACGUGUCAUUUAGGGGUCCGUAAAGCACACAUAAAGUAGCUCCAUAUACCAUGCUUUAAUAAAGCAAGACACCCCGGUCGGUUGCCAUGAAGGCAGAUGUAUACACCUGUGUCUCUGAUUUGGUUCAUGUUAGGCUUUGAGUUUUAACCUCUGACAGCUAUUUAACACUUUAUUAGGAAAAUCAAAACUUAAUUAAAAUAUUGUGCGAUUCCUCUACUCGUCUUAAAUCAAAACCAAUGGUUUAUCUCCUUUUUUUGUUUUGUUUUGUUUUGUUUUGUUUUGCACUGGAAAGAUAGAAAAUGAAAUGUUGAUCAUACUUUAUCCCUUGAUAUUUUAUGGGCAUUUGUUGCAGUUAAACAAUUGAACGUUUUCUGAAGACUUUCCUUUACAGUCCCAGAUGACUGUGUCCGCCAGAAGCCAACCCCAAUUAUAAAUAACUUUUGGUUACUUCACUGGAAGAGGGCCAGCUGCGAGGCCACCCUGGUUCUCUCUGCAGGGCUCUCCUCCUCCUCCAAGUAAAGGACAGAGCCAUCUGCUAAGCAAGCACUCGCAGCAGCAUGGCAGUGAGUCGGCGCGAGGAACUGACCAGCCACAGGAAUAUGUCGCUUGAUAGCCAGCCAUGGUCACACCAGGCCAGUAGGAAAAGCCAGCGGAAAAGUUUCCUUCUAUAAAAGUGAGUGGCAAGCUGCUGAAUCACUCUGGCAGGCAGGAGUCAGCAUGUCUAGGGGAAGGGAAAGUCAAUGUCUCCUGGAGGGAAUAUUAAUAAUAAAAACCAAAGCAAGGACAUUCAGGACUCAAAAGGAUCUUUACGUUUAGUAAAAAAAAACAUUCCAAGAGUAGCUCCAUGCACCAAUUAAUAUUUCAGGAACCGUAAAACAAUAUUCAUUUUAUAUUUAUGAUACAACAUCAUUCAUCCACCGGGGUUUCAAAGUAUUUUACAAUCACACGCUAAGAAAGCAUCUCGUUUGCAGUGAAAUGCAGCCAUCCUGUCAUGAGAGUAAAGCAGCUGACAGAACUGUCUAGGGCACAAGGGAGAAAUGUUGCCACCAAGGGAAUUUGACAGAGCUCAGUAGCACUAGGAUGCCUUGUCUAGGAUGGUAUGAGGUAUCUGCAGGAGCUGGGUAUAGGGAGAGAGACAAGUGGAAAAUUCAGGUACACAACCACAGAUGCGUACAGAAGUUUUAGACAAGUCCUUGUUGAAAUCUGGCUGGUCCUGUUCAGAUAAAUAAAGAUGUAAUAAUUUAUGAAAUAUAGAUUCUAUUGCCCUUUCCUCCAGGCAGCUCUCUGCUAAAACAUUGGUACAAAGACUUUGCAGAAACUAGUCAGAUCUGUCAGGAGCGCCAGUGGUUUUUUUUUUUUUGGUAACCCAGAAAAAAAACACAGCUGCGGCAAGAAAACCCCUGGGGAUCCCCAUCCACAGUGGGGUUAUCUCCACUCAGUAUCCGGAGGGAAAGCCUGCACUCCUUCUCUCAGUCCCUGGCAGCCUUUCCCAAGCACAGGAACAGGGGUGCAGAGUUAACCCUUGCUACAUUUGUAAUAACGGGUAUUCACCAACCCGUAUAUCUUUCCACCAACUCCGUAAGUUGAGUUUUCGUGAAUAUCACGUCGAUUUAAUCAGUAACAACUAGUAACACUCUGCAAAAGAAAAGAAGGAGGAAAAUGCAACACUUCUGCUGCCAAACUCAAUAAUUCUACAUACACAAGCAUUCUUGAAAUACAGAAUUUAUAUGAAAUGCUACAGAAGCUGUGAUACGGGCUGCGCUUUGUUACAGCCUGAUGUAGAUUCAGAUUCAAAUAAUGCACUCUCAGAGACAGACACCUCCCCAAAUCCAAUUUUCCUCUCAAAGUAGAAGUGCAAUAAAUAAAACAGACUGCUAAAACUGUCUACAUAAGUCCCAGCAAUGCCGUGAGUUUGGUUUUUUUUUCUAUGUUUCUGUAGGUGUAUGCACAUAUGCGUGCACGUAUACAGUCGAAAUAUGAAUUUAUAUUUGCUCAGGGACAAAGUUUGCUUUUGUUCUCUCUGUGAAGACGGGAUAUUUCUAAAAUAACCAUCCGAAAUAAAGAAAGGAGAGUAAGGAAAAAAAAUUCAUUCGGAGAAAGCUUCUGCUUAUUAGCAGGGCUUGUCUUUCAUAGACCCAUAGAAUCAUUACAGUUGGAAAAGACCACUAAGAUCAUCUAGUCCAACCGUCAGCCCAUCCCCACCGUGCCCACUAACCAGGUCCCUCAGCGCCACAUCUCCAUGUUUCCUGAACAUCCAGAUGCACACAGUAUUUCAGAUGGCACUUGUGACUUCUUUACAAAGACCUCAGAGCCUUCUGGGUCAGCAAGUCAAGUGCCAGUGCUAGUUUACAUCCAGCAGGGCCAUGUCAGUGCUGGCAUCAGUAACCUGCUCUCCCGAUCGCUUCUGCUCCUCCCAUCCCAGUGCUGCACUGGCUUUGCUGCCUUCUCAUGCCUAAAACUGCAGCUAAUCUUAUGCCGCUGCUUCUGUCCUUAAACACACACUCAACCCACACUUUCCAAAAACGCGUCCCUCUGCAUAUCUGUGUACAUUGUACCAAUAAUAUUGGCGCUGUGUAAAUGCUUGCAGAGUACAGUGGCUUAUUUGGUGUAAAAACAUUUAGGAGUCAAAGGUGAGUUAGAAAUACAUCAGAUGAGCUUUGCAGGUGAAGAGGCUAAUUCAGCAGAGUUUAGCUGGAGCUGUGCAAGCAGCAGAGAGACUUCAGCUGUAUCUGAGCUCCCAGCAAAACUGUCCAUUUAGUGGUAUCACAUCACCCCAGCAAAUUCCCACUGGCUACUCAUGCCUCAAUGCUUAACAUUAUUUCCAGCUUUCCAGGAAAAUAGUAACUUUUGGUGAGUGGCAGUUGAUGCAUACAGGAAAACUUGUAUAGAUGAGAAAAAGAAUUGCAAAGGGGUUAGCUUGUAUUUUAGUCCCAGUCCCAGCACCUUUGGUAAAUAACAUGAACAAAUGUUUUCCAGAUCAAUGAUGUGAUCCUCGGCAGCUGCAUGCUUGUAUUUGUCAUGAUCCUCCCCCCCUCCCUCCCUCAGAUGAAUAUUCAGGCUCUUUCUGUAAAGUCUUUUAAUUCAAACAUGAAAAUAGUUUUAAAGCAAUCCACUGCCACUCUAUUAUAAUAAUGUUCUCUGCUAGUGAAUCUAAGCCAAGGGCUCCAGGGACGUGAGCACUUUAAUGUUCUUGGAAAGUCAUUUAACAUAUGUCUCUUUCCACUUAAACCCUGCUGAUCGCUACAUGGAUUUAAUUUUCACUGCCAUGAGAUGAACCAACGACAUCUACUUACCUGGCUUGUGGAUGGAGAUGUUUGCAUCAAAGGGCUCGAAGAGUUAAGUAAUUAACAAAGAAGACCUUCAUCUGCCACAAGGUUCUUUCUUUACUUUUCCAUCAUCACACCCUCUCUUUGCAGCUGAAUAUCGUCAGUGUUGGUGGUUAUUGGUGGGUGCAGCCCUCUCUUCCUGGAGAUGUUUGAGGGCAGAAGUGCUCCAACCCACAGUGGCAGCUCCGGGUGACCCACAGCUCUGUGAACGCAACUCGAUCUUCAAGUGUAAUGCCAUUGUGAAACUGCUUAUGGUAACAGAAACCCAGCACUCCCCAUGAAUAAUCACAGAUUUUAUUUAUAGUGACAAAACGAGAGGGCCUUUUAUGCAAUAUUCACUAAGGUUACCCAGGUCAACAGCAGCCUAGUCAGAGUGACUCAUACUGUGGAAUUAAAUAUUUUAUACAUAGCACAGUUAUCGUCUGUGCCUGGCUUGCCUUCCAGUAACUGUCUUGAUCUUAUUUUCCCCCUUCCCUCCCCAAAACAGAGCUGGGAAUUCAAAGUAUCCUAUGCAGUACAGCAUCUGGUGCUCCUUAUUUCAUGUCAGAAAGUGAUCAAAGGCUCAGAAAGGGGUGCUGCACUAACACUGCCUUCUGCAAUAGCUUUGCUUGGUGAUCUGUAGGAAGCGAUCAGGUGAGUGAGGCCGGGCACCCCACAGGCUCCCUCCUGGCUGCCAAGCAGGGUCAGUGUGGUGCUGCUCACACAGCAAGGUUGCUGAAGGACCCAGGAAGCAGUGAUCCUUGCAAGGUCACUGAGAAAACUGAAGAGCAGAGCUGGGGAUGGAGUUUAAAAGCUCUGAGUGCAAACCCCCGCUGGGAAAUUGCCUGCAAGUUUUCACAGUUCAGACAAUUGAAGGGAAAGCGAUGCUUGCUGGAGCCUUUUGCCCUUCCUUGGCACAUGAGGAAGGAGCUGUGCCUUCGGUCCUGCCCUGCAGCCCCAGCGCAGCUCCUAGGGAGACGUGCUGGAGCAUUCCCUCUGGCAGUGCAAGAAGUACAAAGGCUGCUCUGAUGAGAAGGUGGGAGGGAAAGCAUCAGAGAGACAGCAGCUGGGCUGGAGACCUGCUCUCACCUCGCACCCAAGAGCUCUGCAGUGAAAAGCUGGGGCUGGUUAGCAGCAAGGCUUUGAGCAGCAUGUGGCCAAAGUAUCUGAAGGCGAGCACAGACAAGUGCAGAGCCCAGGGAAUAUGCAGCCAGCCCUGCACGUGGGGCAGGAGCAGGGUCACUGCACACAUCCAUCAGAAAUGAUGGGAAAGAACAAAUGCAAUGGAUGUGAUUUUUUGCAUUUAUAAUUCACAGAGCUCCGCCGGCUUUCAUGCAAGGAUGAGCCCCCUUAUGUUUCACCCUUCGGGGUUAACUUUGGCUCCCACUGAACGCAUGCCUCAGAAGGCAGAGUCAAUGGGAACAGCCCUGCUGCAUGCUGGCGGGCAACCUGGGCUGAUGCUGCCUUGCUCAGAGCUGGGCAUCGACCGCAGCCAAGCUGCAGCGCUCGGGCUGUGCCCUGGCUGAGAGCUGCAGGGCAGGGAGCCCUGAGGGUGCCUGCACCCCAGGGAGCAAUGCGUGCUCUGCAGCUGGGUUUAAGCAUGUUGUACAGAAGGCUUCCCCAGAGCACACAGCGGGUGAGCUGGUACGGUUUUUCCCUGCUGACAUGCAACUGUGGAUGUAUUUUCAGGGCAGUUGUUUUUCGUUGCUGUUGUUUUGUUUUUUUUCUCCAUCAAUAAAACUAGCCAGAAGAGCAGCUACAUUGAAACAA